UAGUUGGGGAAAAAAGCUUUGAGGUUAAUAUCCUUGAGGAAGGACGUUACCCAAAGAAUAAGCACCGGUUAACUCCGUGCCAGCAGCCGCGGUAAUACGGGGGGUGCAAGCGUUAAUCGGAAUUACUGGGUGUAAAGGGUCUGUAGGUGGUUUGUUAAGUCAGAUGUGAAAGCCCAAGGCUUAACCUUGGAACUGCAUUUGAUACUGGCAAACUAGAGUGCGGUAGAGGAAUGGGGAAUUUCUGGUGUAGCGGUGAAAUGCGUAGAGAUCAGAAGGAACACCAAUGGCGAAGACAGCAUUCUGGACCGAUACUGACACUGAGGGACGAAAGCGUGGGGAUCAAACAGGGAUAGAAACCCUUCA
rnacentral:rRNA from 1 species